GUCUACGACCAUACCACGUUGAAAGCACCGGUUCUCGUCCGAUCACCGAAGUUAAGCAACGUCGGGCCAGGUUAGUACUUGGAUGGGUGACCGCCUGGGAAUACCUGGUGCCGUAGACA
rnacentral:rRNA from 9 species